rnacentral:sRNA from 2 species
GCGUAGUGCUGUAAUUGAUAGUAAAAAUCACAUCAAGGGUUUUUUCAGUCAGCAUUUUAAAAUCCGUUGUUUUGGAUGUGCAAAAGGACAUAACCUUCUGAGUUUGGGUUAGUGAUAACUUGGCAUCACAAGGGGUUUUCAAACUCAUGCUAGCUCGAUAGCUGGCUACCUAUCUCUGUACCUCCCUACCUACCAACAAACCUGCCUGCUCAAUCUCCAAUCAAUCUCUACGAGAAUAAACCUCACCAUCUAGCCACCCUCCUACCUGUCUGCCUACCUUCCUCUCUAUCUACUGACCUGCUUGAAUGAGUGAUAUCUACUGAUGAUAUCUAUUGAUGACAUCCACUAAUGAUAGCUAGCGAUGAUAUAUAUCGAUGAUAUCUGUGAUAUUGUUUAAUAGCAACGUAAUGAAUAAUAUGACCUCGUACUUUCGCUCCGUCUUGCCCCGGCCGCAUGUUCCAUGAAGUUUCUGCUAUAGAGUGUUGUGUCUGAGCUUUUUUCAAUCCUUUGAAGAAAUUAAAGAUGCCUUCAUCUCUGCGAUUUAGCGGUUCAUUUGCCCACCCCUAGAAGAGGGGGGAUGGGGGGUGGGGUUUAAUAAGAGGCAGGCUGCCCCU